rnacentral:tRNA from 1 species
AACAUAGAAGUAAAUAAUACACUUAGCUUCGACCUAAACUUUAGGAUAAUAAAUCCUCAUGUUU